UGAGUACGAGAUGCUACGGCAUCGAAGCAGUCUAUGUCAUACUUCCAAAAAAACUUGCAAUGUCAUAAACAAAUAAUGCCUGUACCAUAACUGACACAGGUGGGUAGGUAGAGUAUACUAAGGGGCGCGAGGUAACUCUCUCUAGGGAACUCGGCAAAAUGACUCCGUAACUUCGGGAGAAGGAGUGCCUUAUUUUUAUAAGGUUGCAAUAACAAGAUCCAAGCAACUGUUUACCAAAAACACAGGUCUCCGCUAAGUCGUAAGACGAUGUAUGGGGGCUGACGCCUGCCCAGUGCCAGAAGGUUAAAGAAGUUGGUUAGCAUUAGCGAAGCUGAUAACUGAAGCCCUGGUGAACGGCGGCCGCAACGAUAACGGUCCUAAGGUAGCGAAAUUCCUUGUCGGGUAAGUUCCGACCCGCACGAAAGGCGUAAUGAUUUGGAUACUGUCUCGGAGAGGGGCUCGGUGAAAUAGACUUGUCUGUGAAGAUGCGGACUACCUGCACCUGGACAGAAAGACCCUAUGAAGCUUUACUGUAACUUGAGAUUGAAAUUGGACUUUAUCUGCGCAGUAUAGGUGGGAGACGUUGAAAAUAUUCUUGCGGGAAUAUUGGAGUCAUCAGUGAGAUACCACUCUUAUAAUGUUAGAUUUCUAACUUUGUAUCAUUAUCUGGUCAAAGAACAGUUUCAGGCGGGCAGUUUGACUGGGGCGGUCGCCUCCCAAACGGUAACGGAGGCGCACAAAGGUUUCCUCUGAACGUGUAGAAAUCGUAUCUAGAGUGUAAAGGCAUAAGGAAGCUUGACUGUGAGACCUACAAGUCGAGCAGGGACGAAAGUCGGUCUUAGUGAUCUGACGGUGCUGAGUGGGAAGGCCGUCACUCAACGGAUAAAAGUUACUCUAGGAUAACAGGCUGAUCUCCCCCAAGAGUUCACAUCGACGGGGAGGUUUGGCACCUCGAUGUCGGCUCAUCGCAUCCUGGGGCGGUAGUACGUCCCAAGGGUUGGGCUGUUCGCCCAUGAAAGCGGUACGCGAGCUGGGUUCAGAACGUCGUGAGACAGUUCGGUCCAUAUCCGGUGUAGGCGUUAGAAUAUUGAGAGGUGCCUUCUUUAGUACGAGAGGACCGAGAAGGACAUACCUCUGGUGUACCAGUUAUCGUGCCAACGGUAAACGCUGGGUAGCCAUGUAUGGAGAGGAUAACCGCUGAAAGCAUCUAAGUGGGAAGCCCACCUCAAGAUAAGUAUUCCC
rnacentral:rRNA from 1 species